CAGGCCGUGAGCUGGUUAUAUCUAAUGAUCAGUGAGAGCCACAUGGACAGUCUGGUGGUGGAUGACAGAGCAAAUGUUGUGACAUCAUGGCCAGUAUUCUUGUGACCUCAUCACAUUACUACAGAGCUUUUGGGUGAUGUGAACAUAAAAUAAAAUUACAGAGAGGUGUAACUUGUUGGAGGUUAAAGUGCAUCCAUAUUGGUCAUCAUUGACAAUUUCAAAUUCUAUUCUUGUAAACUGAUGGUGAGAUGGCCAAUUGUCCAGGUACCCAAGGGGCGAACAGAUUCUACAUUCAGCACAAGAUAAUAUAAGAUGAAUACGUUGACAACAAAAUCACCAAAAAUUAUCAAUGGAAAUCAAAUGUAUCAACCCAUGGAGGUCUGGAUAUGGAGUCACACUCAAAAUCACAGUGGAAAACCCCACCACAGGCUGAUCCAACUUUAUGUAAUGUCCUUAAAACAAGUCCCAAUGAGGCUCAGUAGUGUGUGUGGCCUCCACGUGCCCGUAUGACCUCCCUACAACACCUGGGCAAGCUCCUGAUGAGGAGGAGGAUGGUCUCCUGAGGGAUGUCCUCCCAGACCUGGACUAAAGCAUCCGCCAACUCCGGGACAGUCUGUGGUGGAUGGAGCGAGACGUCCCAGAUGUGCUCAAUCGGAUUCAGGUCUGGGGAACGGGUGGCCAGUCCAUAGCAUCAAUGCCUUCCUCUUGCAGGAACUGCUGACACAGUCCAGCCACAUGAGGUCUAGCAUUGUCUUGUAUUAGGAGGAUCCCGCCAUUCCUGUACCCCACUAUUUCCAGACCUAAAGAUUAGGCUGUGGAAAUUUUCAUUCAUUCAAAAACAUAAAAACAGAGAAGGAGAUUAAACAAAAUCCCGCUUACAUUGAUCUAUCUCGUAUGAUGACCCUUCGGCAAUGAACUCUUUGUGCUGGAACCUAAAGUGGAUGAAAAAGUAGACUUAAGAGUAGGUAUUGUACUUGUCGAGAUUAUCAUCAGUGGACGACAGCCAAUACAUCAAGUAGGUUAAGGAACACAAAGGGGCCCCAACAUCGUGGAAAUAUAUCAAGGAUUAAGAAUUAAGAUCCAAGAUCCAUCACUAGAGCUGUUAAAAUUACAUUUACUAAUCUUCCACAUGCUGGAGCAGCCUAGAAAGUCAUCCAGUCCCUAAGAGGAAGAUGAGAAUAUUAACCAUCCUAUCCUUUAAGAUAAAACCAUGCACAAUAGCGAAUGCUACAGAUUCAGAUGUUUAAGGUCAUUCAAAUGGUCAGAGAUAAGCAAAAUCAUACAGUAAAACAGCUGCUAAACUGAACGGCCUUCUUGAGUGGUAAAUAAUUGAAAUAAUAGAUGCUACUAGGAGACAAUUAAAGUUUGUAUAGUAUCCAAAAAAAAAAAAAGGCAAGAAGAUAGCACUUCAACAAACAAAGUCAUCUUUAUUCACACCAAUGCUCAACAUUUUGGCUGUAUUGUAGCAGAAACUUCCCUGCUUGAGAGAGGCUACAAUAGAGCAAACACAUUGGAUAGCUACUUAUGUUUUGGUGCCACUUAUUUUUUGGUCCCACAUCAGAUGCUCAGGUGGUCCAGAAUGUCUUGUAGACUCAUCCAACCUGUCAUUUUAUCCAUAAUUCAAGCUGGCUGGAGUGUCCCCUUUAAGGCUGUGCACACCAGAGCUCCCCACAUACACUGUUGGUUCUUCUGCUGCACAGGAAACAUGAACAACGAAAAAAAUACCUUACUAAUAUGUAAGUAGCUGUGCACUAAAAACUGAUAACACAGAGGAAGAAAUCAUGCAC